rnacentral:rRNA from 1 species
UACGUAGGGUCCGAGCGUUGUCCGGAAUUAUUGGGCGUAAAGAGCUCGUAGGCGGUCUGUCGCGUCGGCUGUGAAAACACGGGGCUCAACUCCGUGCCUGCAGUCGAUACGGGCAGACUAGAGUACUGCAGGGGAGACUGGAAUUCCUGGUGUAGCGGUGGAAUGCGCAGAUAUCAGGAGGAACACCGGUGGCGAAGGCGGGUCUCUGGGCAGUAACUGACGCUGAGGAGCGAAAGCGUGGGGAGCGAACAGG